UACGGAGGGGGCAAGCGUUAUUCGGAAUCAUUGGGCGUAAAGGGCGCGUAGGCGGCUUGGCAAGUCAAAGGUGAAAUCCCUCGGCCUAACCGAGGAACUGCCUUUGAUACUGCGAGCCUUGAGUCCUGGAGGGGUUGGCGGAAUUCGUGGUGUAGCGGUGAAAUGCGUAGAUAUCACGAGGAACACCGGAGGUGUAGACGGCCAACUGGACAGGUACUGACGCUGAGGCACGAAAGCGUGGGGAGCGAACAGG
rnacentral:rRNA from 1 species